UCAAGGAUAUAGCUUCGUCGGCGAGCCAGGUAACAUUCUCCGGCGAAAUAAUAACAUCACCAUCCAUCUCCGAUAAUUGGUCCACUACAUCUCCUCGGCGGCCCAAAUUCAGUUCAAAUAAAAUGUCUUCAAAUCCUAUUUUGCUCAUAGAUCCAUAGAAGAUGGGGAUGAGGUUAGGAUCUUUGACGUCGGAGGAGCAGAGGCAGAGAUGGUGAUUUCUUAAAAAGAAAAAUUGGGGAAUAUUUGUUUUAUACUGCUAUGGUCGAACACUCGGUCGGCGGACUAAGGAUGAAACGAGGUAGGUGACGGCGGCGCGUUGAAUUUAGUUUAGAGGUGGAAUCAAGGUGGGGAAGGUGGAGGUGGAGAUGAUUUGCAGGAGAUGGUGAUAUCUUAAAAAGAAAUUGGGGAAUAUUUGUUUUAUACUUCUAUGAUCGAAGACUCGAUCGGCAAACGAAGGAGG
rnacentral:lncRNA from 1 species